GACAAUCCAAUCGUGCGUUUCAAUCAUCUACAGAGCAUUAACCGCAUUCUCACAAUCUCACUCAGGUGAUGUGAUGAUGAGCCACUUCUCUGUCUUCUUCUUCUUCUUCUUCCCUCACAAAAACUACAAACACAUCCUUUUACGAAAUUGCCCUUCACUCCAUAGCCAUGAAUUAUUCUGCCUAUAACGAACGGCCCCCCUAUUAUCCGUACAGUAACCGAUUCAAUUACAUCCGCGAUCCUCAUGGAACCUACCUUCCGA
rnacentral:lncRNA from 1 species